CCUACGGGAGGCAGCAGUAGGGAAUAUUGCUCAAUGGGGGAAACCCUGAAGCAGCAACGCCGCGUGGAGGAUGAAGGUUUUAGGAUUGUAAACUCCUUUUGUGAGAGAAGAUAAUGACGGUAUCUCACGAAUAAGCACCGGCUAACUCCGUGCCAGCAGCCGCGGUAAUACGGAGGGUGCAAGCGUUACCCGGAAUAACUGGGCGUAAAGAGUGCGUAGGCGGGCUUGUAAGUCAGAUGUGAAAUCCUGUAGCUUAACUACGGAACUGCAUUUGAAACUAUGAGUCUGGAGUGUGGGAGGGGAAGGUGAAAUUCUUGGUGUAGGGGUAAAAUCCGUAGAUAUCAAGGGGAAAACUCAUUGCAAAGGCGACCUACUGGAACAUUACUGACGCUCAUGCACGAAAGCGUGGGGAGCAAACAGGAUUAGAUACCCUAGUAUC
rnacentral:rRNA from 1 species